GACGAACGCUGGCGGCGUGCUUAACACAUGCAAGUCGAACGGAAAGGCCCUGCUUUUGUGGGGUGCUCGAGUGGCGAACGGGUGAGUAACACGCGAGUAACCUGCCCUUGACUUUGGGAUAACUUCAGGAAACUGGGGCUAAUACCGGAUAGGAGCUCCUGCUGCAUGGUGGGGGUUGGAAAGUUUCGGCGGUUGGGGAUGGACUCGCGGCUUAUCAGCUUGUUGGUGGGGUAGUGGCUUACCAAGGCUUUGACGGGUAGCCGGCCUGAGAGGGUGACCGGCCACAUUGGGACUGAGAUACGGCCCAGACUCCUACGGGAGGCAGCAGUGGGGAAUAUUGCACAAUGGGCGGAAGCCUGAUGCAGCAACGCCGCGUGCGGGAUGACGGCCUUCGGGUUGUAAACCGCUUUCGCCUGUGACGAAGCGUGAGUGACGGUAAUGGGUAAAGAAGCACCGGCUAACUACGUGCCAGCAGCCGCGGUGAUACGUAGGGUGCGAGCGUUGUCCGGAUUUAUUGGGCGUAAAGGGCUCGUAGGUGGUUGAUCGCGUCGGAAGUGUAAUCUUGGGGCUUAACCCUGAGCGUGCUUUCGAUACGGGUUGACUUGAGGAAGGUAGGGGAGAAUGGAAUUCCUGGUGGAGCGGUGGAAUGCGCAGAUAUCAGGAGGAACACCAGUGGCGAAGGCGGUUCUCUGGGCCUUUCCUGACGCUGAGGAGCGAAAGCGUGGGGAGCGAACAGGCUUAGAUACCCUGGUAGUCCACGCUGUAAACGGUGGGUACUAGGUGUGGGGUCCAUUCCACGGGUUCCGUGCCGUAGCUAACGCUUUAAGUACCCCGCCUGGGGAGUACGGCCGCAAGGCUAAAACUCAAAGGAAUUGACGGGGCCCCGCACAAGCGGCGGAGCAUGCGGAUUAAUUCGAUGCAACGCGUAGAACCUUACCUGGGUUUGACAUGGAUCGGGAGUGCUCAGAGAUGGGUGUGCCUCUUUUGGGGUCGGUUCACAGGUGGUGCAUGGCUGUCGUCAGCUCGUGUCGUGAGAUGUUGGGUUAAGUCCCGCAACGAGCGCAACCCUUGUUCACUGUUGCCAGCACGUUAUGGUGGGGACUCAGUGGAGACCGCCGGGGUCAACUCGGAGGAAGGUGGGGAUGACGUCAAGUCAUCAUGCCCCUUAUGUCCAGGGCUUCACGCAUGCUACAAUGGCUGGUACAGAGAGUGGCGAGCCUGUGAGGAUGAGCGAAUCUCGGAAAGCCGGUCUCAGUUCGGAUUGGGGUCUGCAACUCGACCUCAUGAAUUCGGAGUCGCUAGUAAUCGCAGAUCAGCAACGCUGCGGUGGAUACGUUCCCCGGGCUU
rnacentral:rRNA from 1 species